UUACGGCCACAUCACGUUGAAACAUCGGUUCACAUAUGAUCACCGAAUUUAAGCACCGUCGAGCCUGAUUAGUGCCUGGGUGGGUGACCGCUUGGGAAUAACAGGUGCU